UAGAGCUAGAGAUGAAACCUAAAUGGCUCAGCCCUGGCUUUAGGUUUGGCCUAGAUGGUUUGAACCUAUUCUAAAAUAUUAACCUGACCUCAGGAUUUCACUGUCACAUCUAGCUUUACACUCAGAAAAACUGAGGUCAGGUUAAUAUUUAAGAAAUAGAUGUGUCAGUUUCCUUAUCUUAUUCUUAGAUACAAACAAUAGAAUAGUAUUUCAUCCUUUAAUUGAAGUAUUUUAGUUAUUUAUAUAUUCUAAGUGGAUGACUAAUAAUUCCAUUUAUUGGUCUCAUGGCUAGAAGAUUUAUACCACCUAUUUUGGCAUAUAAUGUGUACAAUUUCCCUGACAUGGAUAAUAUAUGGAAGAUUGUAGAAAGCAAUAAGAAU
rnacentral:lncRNA from 1 species